rnacentral:rRNA from 1 species
UACGUAGGUGGCAAGCGUUGUCCGGAUUUACUGGGCGUAAAGAGCGCGCAGGCGGUCGGAUAAGUCGAAUGUGAAAGCCCCCGGCUCAACUGGGGAGGGUCAUUCGAUACUGUUCGACUCGAAGGCAGGAGAGGGAAGUGGAAUUCCCGGUGUAGUGGUGAAAUGCGUAGAUAUCGGGAGGAACACCAGUGGCGAAGGCGAGUCUCUGGACAGCAACUGACGCUGAGGCACGAAGGCCAGGGGAGCAAACGGG